rnacentral:rRNA from 1 species
CCUACGGGAGGCAGCAGUGGGGAAUAUUGCGCAAUGGGCGAAAGCCUGACGCAGCAACGCCGCGUGCGGGGUGAAGGCCUUCGGGUUGUAAACCGCUUUCAGCAGGGAAGAAGCCGCAAGGUGACGGUACCUGCAGAAGGAGCACCGGCUAACUACGUGCCAGCAGCCGCGGUAAUACAUAGGGUGCAAGCGUUGUCCGGAAUUAUUGGGCGUAAAGAGCUCGUAGGUCGUUUGUUACGUCGGAUGUGAAAACCCGGAGCUUAACUCCGGGCCUGCAUUCGAUACGGGCAGACUUGAGUGUGGUAGGGGAGACUGGAAUUCCUGGUGUAGCGGUGAAAUGCGCAGAUAUCAGGAGGAACACCGAUGGCGAAGGCAGGUCUCUGGGCCACAACUGACGCUGGGGAGCGAAAGCGUGGGGAGCAAACAGGAUUAGAUACCCUGGUAGUCCACGCCGUAAACGGUGGGCGCUAGGUGUGGGGAACCUUCCACGUUCUCCGUGCCGCAGCUAACGCAUUAAGCGCCCCGCCUGGGGAGUACGGCCGCAAGGCUAAAACUCAAAGGAAUUGACGG